rnacentral:rRNA from 1 species
UGGCGGGACGGGGUGGAGUAACGCGUGGGUAACCGUGCCUCAUACAGGGGGAUAGCAGCUGGAAACGGCUGGUAAUACCGCAUAAGCGCACAGUACCACAUGGUACAGUGUGAAAAACUACCGGUGGUAUGAGAUGGACCCGCGUCUGAUUAGGUAGUUGGUGGGGUAACGGCCUACCAAGCCGACGAUCAGUAGCCGACCUGAGAGGGUGACCGGCCACAUUGGGACUGAGACACGGCCCAA